UUCCUUUUCAGCCUGAUCGUGUUCUUUGCAUGGAGGAGGAGAACAUCUAGACUCUCCAAUGGGUUUGAAACAACAGACAGUUCAUAGGGACAGAACUCCCCGGUUGGGACGGUGUGCUCUAACCAGGCCACGGUCGGGAGAGGGGACCAGGAACC